rnacentral:rRNA from 1 species
UACGUAGGGACCGAGCGUUGUCCGGAAUUAUUGGGCGUAAAGCGCGCGCAGGUGGUUCCUUAAGUCUGAUGUGAAAGCCCACGGCUCAACCGUGGAGGGUCAUUGGAAACUGGGGAACUUGAGUGCAGAAGAGGAAAGUGGAAUUCCACGUGUAGCGGUGAAAUGCGUAGAGAUGUGGAGGAACACCAGUGGCGAAGGCGACUUUCUGGUCUGUAACUGACACUGAGGCGCGAAAGCGUGGGGAGCGAACAGG